AAUUUUGGACAAUGGGCGCAAGCCUGAUCCAGCCAUGCCGCGUGAGUGAAGAAGGACUUCGGGUUGUAAAGCUCUUUCGGACGGAAAGAAAUCACCCAGGCAAAGACGCUGCGCGGAUGACGGUACCGUCAUAAGAAGCACCGGAAAACUACGUGCCAGCAGCCGCGGUAACACGUCAGGUGCGAGGGUUAAUCGGAAUGAUUGGGCGUAAAGCGUGCGCAGGCGGUUGAUUAAGACAGGCGUGAAAUCCCCGGGCUUACCCUGGGAACUGCGCUUGUGACUGGUCAGCUAGAGUACGGCAGAGGGGGGUGGAAUUCCACGUGUAGCAGUGAAAUGCGUAGAGAUGUGGAGGAACACCGAUGGCGAAGGCAGCCCCCUGGGCCGAUACUGACGCUCAUGCACGAAAGCGUGGGUAGCAAACAGG
rnacentral:rRNA from 1 species